UUCUUUAAGAUUGAUUAUUUAAGGUAUUUUCUGCCCUAUGAUUAAUAUUAAAUGGCUGCAGUAUUUUGACUGUGCAAAGGUAGCAUAAUAAUUAGUUUUUUAAUUGAGGACUUGUAUGAAUGGAUAAAUGAGGGACAAAUUUUUUUAUUUUUAUUGUUAGAAUUUUAUUUGUUGGUAAAAAAGCUAAUCUAAUUUUUAGGGACGAUAAGACCCUAUAGAACUUAAAAUUUUUUAAUAAUUAUAUUUAUUAGUUUUUUUGGUGUUAUCUUAUUAUGGAAUUUUUAAUUGGGGUGAUUAAUAAAUUUAUCUAUCUUUAUUUUUUUUUAUCAUUGAUUUAUGUAUAAUUGAUCCUUUAUUAAGAUUAUAAGAUAAGUUACCUUAGGGAUAACAGCGUAAUUUUAAUGGGAAGUUCUUAUUUAUAUUAAAGUUUGCGACCUCGAUGUUGAAUUAAAAUUAAUUUAAGGUGAAGGGGCUUUAAUUUAAGUCUGUUCGACUUUUAGAAUUUUACA
rnacentral:rRNA from 1 species